UGUGCUUUAGUAUAAGAUGUAUGAAAGUUUUUGAUACUUUAGGGACUAGUUUAAUUCUAGUAAGCGCAA
rnacentral:tRNA from 1 species